rnacentral:rRNA from 1 species
CCUACGGGAGGCAGCAGUGAGGAAUAUUGGUCAAUGGGGGAGAGCCUGAACCAGCCAAGUAGCGUGAAGGAUGACUGCCCUUCGGGUUGUAAACUUCUUUUAUAAAGGAAUAAAGUGAGGCAAGUGUGCCAUUUUGGAAGUACUUUAUGAAUUCUGAUCGGCUAACUCCGUGCCAGCAGCCGAGGUAAGACGGAGGAUCCGAGCGUUAUCCGGAUUUAUUGGGUGUAAGGGGAGCGUAGAUGGGUUGUUAAGUCAGGUGUGAAAGUUUGCGGCUCAACCGUAAAAUUGCAAUUGAUACUGGCAGUCUUGAGUACAGUUGAGGUAGGCGGAAUUCGGGGUGUAGCGGUGAAAUGCUUAGAUAUCACGAGGAACUCCGAUGGCGAAGGCAGCUUACUAAACUUUCACUGACACUGAGGCUCGAAAGUGUGGGUAUCAAACAGGAUUAGAUACCCCUGUAGUC